rnacentral:misc_RNA from 1 species
AAAAGAAAAAAAAAAGAAAAAACUGAACUGUGCUUAAUUUGAGAUGUAUCAUGUAUGUGCCUAACACAGUAACACUUGUUCCCAAGUCCAAACUAUAGUGGAAUAUAAACUAUCAGUUGUAGUAAGAUUUAAAAACACUUGUAAACUACGUCAUACUGUAAUUGAGUGGCUGAAAAGCAUUGGUGUAUAUAUGGAUUAUUUGUGGAUGAAUGAUUAAACUUCUGCUGAUUUUUCUGCUUGUCUUGGGGUGAUUAUAGUAAUUUUAUUAGUGUUUGUUAAUGACAUGCUCGCUACUUGAUGUCUAACAAAAACUAUCUGAGAAAGUGGUGUGCAAUACUUCAAAUUUGAGGUUUCAUAUUUUAUUGGUUAAGACAUACAGUUUUAGACGUUCAUUUUUUUUCCUCAAAAGCAUUUUACAAA